UGGGUGCGAGUGCGUCAGUU
rfam:Anopheles sinensis unplaced genomic scaffold AS2_scf7180000691325, whole genome shotgun sequence.